UACGUAGGGUGCGAGCGUUGUCCGGAAUUACUGGGCGUAAAGAGCUCGUAGGUGGUUUGUCGCGUUGUUCGUGAAAACCUGAGGCUUAACCUUGGGCGUGCGGGCGAUACGGGCAGACUGGAGUACUGCAGGGGAGACUGGAAUUCCUGGUGUAGCGGUGGAAUGCGCAGAUAUCAGGAGGAACACCGGUGGCGAAGGCGGGUCUCUGGGCCGAUACUGACGCUGAGGAGCGAAAGCGUGGGGGAGCGAACAGG
rnacentral:rRNA from 1 species